rnacentral:rRNA from 1 species
UACGGGGGGGGCAAGCGUUGUUCGGAAUUACUGGGCGUAAAGGGCUCGUAGGCGGCCAACUAAGUCAGACGUGAAAUCCCUCGGCUUAACCAGGGAACUGCAUCUGAUACUGGAUGGCUUGAGAUUGGGAGAGGGAUGCGGAAUUCCAGGUGUAGCGGUGAAAUGCGUAGAUAUCUGGAGGAACACCGGUGGCGAAGGCGGCAUCCUGGACCAACACUGACGCUGAGGAGCGAAAGCCAGGGGAGCAAACGGG